rnacentral:rRNA from 1 species
UACGUAUGGUGCAAGCGUUAUCCGGAUUUACUGGGUGUAAGGGAGCGCAGGCGGCACGGCAAGCCUGAUGUGAAAGCCCGCGGCCCAACCGCGGGACUGCAUUGGGAACUACCGGGCUGGAGUGCCGGAGAGGUAGGCGGAAUUCCUAGUGUAGCGGUGAAAUGCGUAGAUAUUAGGAGGAACACCAGUGGCGAAGGCGGCCUACUGGACGGUGACUGACGCUGAGGCUCGAAAGCGUGGGGAGCAAACAGG